UACUCAUCAAGAGUUGGUGGAGGGACUGGCCCGAUGAAACCGCGGCAACCAUUUAGCAGUUUAUCUGCUAAAAACGGUGCCAAUUCCGGCGGCAAAACCGUAAGAUGGGAG
rnacentral:ncRNA from 1 species